rnacentral:rRNA from 12 species
ACCAACAGUAAUGUUUUAUUUAUUAUUGCUCUUUAACAGGUCCCACUGAGAUUUGAACUCAGAUCAGUAUUUUAAUGGUAGACUGCCUGGGAAUACCAGGGUCUGUAGGCA